CUUUACUGUAGCUUUGUAUUGGACUUUGAACGGAUCUGUGUAGGAUAGGUGGGAGGCUUUGAAGUGGUGACGCUAGUUGCCAUGGAGCCAAUCUUGAAAUACCACCCUGGUGCGUUUGAGGUUCUAACCUAGGUCCAUUAUCUGGAUCGGGGACAGUGCAUGGUAGGCAGUUUGACUGGGGCGGUCUCCUCCCAAAGUGUAACGGAGGAGUUCGAAGGUACGCUAGUUACGGUCGGACAUCGUGACGAUAGUGCAAUGGCAUAAGCGUGCUUAACUGCGAGACUGACAAGUCGAGCAGAUGCGAAAGCAGGACAUAGUGAUCCGGUGGUUCUGUAUGGAAGGGCCAUCGCUCAACGGAUAAAAGGUA
rnacentral:rRNA from 1 species